GAGAGAGCACCGGUAGAAGACGACUUGGUCUGCACUUACUCGAAGUGCUACGGCUUGGUGGUUGUCAGGUCCAGCGGUGUUUCUGAUGGUAAGAUCUCUUGCAAAGAAUCCUUUUCCACUGACAACUGAAAACAUACCAGGUUAGGCAUGCUGGAGGCAAAGAUAUCAGACUUACUAACGGUUGCCGAGUUGAAAGUGGUGACACCCGACUGCUGGACGUUCUUGUUUCCUGUGAUGAUGGUUCGGCCGAUACCGUCUCCAACCAGCAUAAUGUUUAAGGCCUUUUUCGGUAUGAUAACACUUUCUGAGUAAACUCCCGCUCUUACGUAUAUGACGAAUGUUUUGCUGCUUUUGAGGGGUGCAGCAUCUAUGGCGUCUUGAAUCUUCUUGAAGUCCCCAUUUCCAUUUUUCGCAACGACGACGUUCGGGGUGAAAUAAUUUUUCUGCUGCAGC
rnacentral:lncRNA from 1 species